rnacentral:lncRNA from 1 species
GUAGCAAAAUAAAAUUUCUUUGUCAAAGUUAUCCGCAUUAGUCCCUUGCAUUUCCUAGCUUGAUCUAUCAUUUUGCCAAAAAAACACAUGAAGAUGGGAAGAAAUAAACCAUGAAUUGGAAUUAAUAGGGAGAAAAUCAUCAACUACUAAAGAAAAAAAAAAAAAAAACCCCUCACCGCACCAUUCCAUUCAAUUCCCUGCACCAAACCUCGCGCGC